rnacentral:rRNA from 1 species
GAUGAACGCUGGCGGCGUGCUUAACACAUGCAAGUCGAACGAGAAGUGAAGACGGAAACCUUCGGGCGGAAGGCUUUAUUUCGAGUGGCGGACGGGUGAGUAACGCGUGGGUAACCUGCCUCAUACAGGGGGAUAACAGUUGGAAACGACUGUUAAUACCGCAUAAGACCACAGCACCGCAUGGUGCGGGGGUAAAAACUCCGGUGGUAUGAGAUGGACCCGCGUUCGAUUAGCCAGUUGGCGGGGUAACGGCCCACCAAAGCGACGAUCGAUAGCCGAUCUGAGAGGAUGACCGGCCACAUUGGGACUGAGACACGGCCCAAACUCCUACGGGAGGCAGCAGUGGGGAAUAUUGCAAAAUGGGGGAAACCCUGAUGCAGCGACGCCGCGUGAGUGAAGAAGUAUUUCGGUAUGUAAAGCUCUAUCAGCAGGGAAGAAAAUGACGGUACCUGAGUAAGAAGCCCCGGCUAACUACGUG